GACGAACGCUGGCGGCGUGCUUAACACAUGCAAGUCGAACGGACGAGUGAGAUAAGUUUACUUAACUCACAAGUUAGUGGCGGACGGGUGAGUAACACGUGGAUAAUCUACCUGCAACACCGGGAUAACGCUGUGAAAACGGUGCUAAUACCGGAUACGUUCCCUUGUGCGCAUGUAUGAGGGAAGAAAGCUCAGGCGGUUGCAGAUGAGUCCGCGGCUGAUUAGCUAGUUGGUGAGGUAAAGGCUCACCAAGGCGAUGAUCAGUAGCCGGCCUGAGAGGGUGAACGGCCACACUGGGACUGAGACACGGCCCAGACUCCUACGGGAGGCAGCAGUGGGGAAUCUUCCGCAAUGGGCGCAAGCCUGACGGAGCAACGCCGCGUGGGUGAAGAAGGCCUCGGGUUGUAAGACCUGUCUUAUGGUAAGGAAGUCAGUGACGGUACCAUAGGAGGAAGCCGACGGCGUAACUACGUAGCCAGCAGCCGCGGUAAACGAGUAGUACGA
rnacentral:rRNA from 1 species